AUUGAACGCUGGCGGCAGGCCUAACACAUGCAAGUCGAACGAGUGGCGGACGGGUGAGUAAUGUCUGGGUAUCUGCCUGAUGGAGGGGGAUAACUACUGGAAACGGUAGCUAAUCCCGCAUACCAUCAGAUGACCCCAUAUGGGAUUAGCUUGUAGGUGAGGUAACGGCUCACCUAGGCGACGAUCCCUAGCUGGUCUGAGAGGAUGAUCAGCCACACGGGGACUGAGACACGGCCCAGACUCCUACGGGAGGCAGAAGUGGGGAAUAUUGCACAAUGGGCGCAAGCCUGAUGCAGCCAUGCCGCGUGUAUGAAGAAGGCCUUCGGGUUGUAAAGUACUUUCAGGCGGGAGGCGUUACCGACAGAAGAAGCACCGGCUAACUCCGUGCCAGCAGCCGCGGUAAUUC
rnacentral:rRNA from 1 species